CGAGCGGAGCCGAGCGCCCGAGGCCGGGAGGGUAGGGGACAAGUGGAGGUGGGCCGGAAAGAAGGGGAGGACCCAAGUGAGGACGAAGUGGCCCUCUCGGAGGGGCUGUGUCACAAAGCCAUCUAUCUGAUCGUUCCCAGCUUGAAUGUUCACGUCGUCAGACACUUGUCACUUUAUCUCUUCCCUGAAGGAGAGAGGCUUCCUGAGUAUUUGCAAAGAGAUUGCUUUGUCCUGAAUUUCACUCCAGAAAUUGCAGCAACCAAGACUUCUACGACGUCUAUUAAACAGAUGGUAGGCACCCAAAUGCUAAGGGCUUUCUGCUGAGCAGUUCACUGGCGCCAGCAAGAGAGAGCAGUCUUGUGGAGAGAUUCUUAGCAGUGCUUGCUUGCCAUCCAUCCUGCCUGCAUCUUAGAACAGAGACACCCGUUCCCAGGAGCAGAAUCAUGUGGCCGUAACUCUGCCCCAGCUCUGCUAUUAACUUCCUGGGUUAUAGAAUCUGGCUUCCAUCUUGUAUUCCCUGUAUGACCUUAACUCUCUGUAGAGCCCAGAUUUCUCGCCUGUAAAAUGGGGCCGGUAGUAAUGCUGCUAGCUCAAUAGGGGCACUUUAUUAACUCUUUUGUUUACUUCAUAUCUGGGAUCACCUAUCUAAAUUCAUUGCCUGGGUUGGAGUUAGCCCAAUCUAACAAAACAAAUUUAUACAUUUAUAUCUCUAUGGGCAUAUGAUUCUCUAGAUAAACGAUUGAGAUAUAUACCCUUUCUCUCUUUUUUCUUUUUCUUUGAGGUGGUCUCACUGUGUAGCUUUGGCUGACCUCACACUCACAGAGAUCUGCCUACCUCUGCCUCCUGAAUGCUGGGACUAAUGGCAUGGACCAUCAUGCCCAAGUGUGCAUGUGUGUUUCUGUGUGUGUGUGUGUGUGUGUGUGUGUGUGUGUGUGUUUGUCUGUUCCUUUGUGUAGAUAUGCAUGUCUGUGGAUGUCCUUAGGGUUGUCAACUGGGUUUUGUGUGUGCAGGUACAUGGGGCCAGAGGUUGAUGUUGUAUCUUCCUUAGUCUCUUUCCAUCUUGAGACCCACUCUCAAAACAAAGAAAAAGAAAAAAGAAAAGUGAACAGCAAUGGAGGAAAGACACCCAAUGUCAACUAACCUCUGUCCUUCACAUGCACACACAAUGUACACAAGCAUACACCCACACUAAUAACUACACACAUAAUAUACAUCCCUCCUACAACUUCUUAAAUAAAAAAAAUUUUAAAUCCA